UCGGUACUCCCUCUUCUCCAUUAUUCCCUCAUCCAUCACAUUUGGAGGAAAAAUCCCUAGUCGAUAAAAGAGAACGGCGGUGCCUCUUCUUUCACUCUCCUCCGGCGAAUCCACGCCGGAGUGGCCUCUCUUUUCCACAAAUCGGGUUCCCUCUCAGCUCACUCUCAUUCUCUUCCUUUUUCGGCGGAAUCGCCGUUCCGAUUUGGUAAAGCUCCGCCGGCGCCUGCCUCCUCUGAAAUCUAGAUCGGGGAGCCGAAGCUCUAUCCGGUCAGGGACGGCGCCCCUGUUUCUUUGCCUCCGAAGGCAGCAGCUCCUCUCCCGUCGCCGACUGGUUUCGCCUCGCGCCGCUGCUCCGGCGGCGUCGCCACCCCCUCGAGCUUAAUCUAAGUCUCUUUCCCCUUAGCCCCUUUUGUUUCUUCGUUUAGUGAUCAGCUCUUAUGCUUAUUCUUGUUUGCUAAGUACUUACUGAGGAAUUAGCCUCUAAUUGGUGAUGUUGAAUCCCAUCUGUGCAGAGAGCUACUUUAUUGUUUUAGUCUCGUUUUAGAUGUGAUACUACUGCCCGUGUGUUAUAUAAACGAUUUGGUUGUGUGUCUGGGGCAGCAUUUGAUGGUGUUAGAACUUACUGUCGAUUUUUGCUAUUCUAAGUGAUCAUGCUUCUAAAGGGGCUGAUUUUCUUUAUAGGCAAUUUGGUGUACUUUGUGUCAUUAAAGGGGCUGAUUUUCUUUUGUCUUCAUGUCAUAACAUAUCUCCUUUUGCACUUGUACCUCUUCACUUUUAAUUAAGGAAAUUUUGGUGUUAUGCUUAUGGGGAGUACUUCUUGAUUUAUGGUAAUUGUUUUGUGGUGGCAGAUGGUCCCAGGAGGGAGUGCAGAUUGACUGCACAAGGGAAACGUGCAGGCUCGACUUGCUCAUUGAGGCUAGUCUUUAGUCUCUUGUUAGAAAAGAGGUGGAGCAAGACUUGGACUGCUAUGUUGUUCCCGGCCCGGCCCGCUGCUCUCGGCAGUCAACUCGUUCGGGCCCGACCCGUAGAGGGUGCGAUUUCGGUCAUUUCGAGGAGGGCCCAAAAUGCAUGUUUUGCAUUCUUAACAUCCCCCUCAUCAAUUCAUGUGUAGAAUAUUUCUUGUAAUUAGAUGGUAGCUUGUUAUGUAUGUAAAAAGAUAUUCGAACACUUUUUGUCUGAAGUAAACCCUUUGUUCCUUUUUGUAAUUAUAUCGAAGUCGUUUUGGUUC